rnacentral:piRNA from 1 species
UGGAAGCUGAGUUGCCGGCUCUGUGC